rnacentral:rRNA from 1 species
GUGGGGAAUUUUGGACAAUGGGCGCAAGCCUGAUCCAGCAAUGCCGCGUGCAGGAAGAAGGCCUUCGGGUUGUAAACUGCUUUUGUACGGAACGAAACGGCUCUGGUUAAUACCCGGGGCUAAUGACGGUACCCCGCGAAUAAGCCCCGGCUAACUACGUGCCAGCAGCCGCGGUAAUACGUAGGGGGCGAGCGUUGCUCGGAUUGACUGGGCGUAAAGCGCGCGUAGGCGGUCCAUUAAGUGUGCGGUGAAAUUCGGAGGCUCAACCUCCGUCCCGCCGCGCAAACUGAUGGUCUUGAGAUUGGGAGGGGGAUGCGGAAUUCCUGGUGUAGCGGUGAAAUGCAUUGAUAUCAGGAGGAACACCGGCGGCGAAAGCGGCAUCCUGGCUUAUAUCUGACGCUGAGGCGCGAAAGCGUGGGUAGCAAACGGGAUUAGAUACCCUGGUAGUCC